UACGGGAGAUGCAAGCGUUAUCCGGAAUGAUUGGCGUAAAGCGUCCGCAGGUGGCUGUGUAAGUCUGCUGUUAAAGAGUCGAUGCUCAACAUGAUAAGAGCAGUGGAAACUUACACGGCUAGAGUGCGUUCGGGGCAGAGGGAAUUCCUGGUGUAGCGGUGAAAUGCGUAGAGAUCAGGAAGAACACCGGUGGCGAAAGCGCUCUGCUAGGCCG
rnacentral:rRNA from 1 species